ACUCCGGUAGUAUAAUAUACUUUUAAUACGUUGCUUUUUCAUAGCAGAAAUCUUCUCCAUAGUCAGAGAU
rnacentral:tRNA from 1 species